UACAGAGGGUGCGAGCGUUAAUCGGAAUUACUGGGCGUAAAGGGCGCGUAGGCGGCGAUCCGAGUCAGAUGUGAAAGUCCUGGGCUUAACCUGGGGACUGCAUUUGAUACUGGAUUGCUUGAAUUCGGGAGAGGAUAGCGGAAUUCCCAGUGUAGAGGUGAAAUUCGUAGAUAUUGGGAAGAACACCGGUGGCGAAGGCGGCUAUCUGGACCGACAUUGACGCUGAGGCGCGAAAGCGUGGGGAGCAAACAGG
rnacentral:rRNA from 1 species